GCAAGUCGAGCGGUAACAUUUCUAGCUUGCUAGAAGAUGACGAGCGGCGGACGGGUGAGUAAUGCUUGGGAACAUGCCUUGAGGUGGGGGACAACCGUUGGAAACGACGGCUAAUACCGCAUAAUCUCUACGGAGCAAAGGGGGCUUUUAGCUCUCGCCUUUAGAUUGGCCCAAGUGGGAUUAGCUAGUUGGUAAGGUAAUGGCUUACCAAGGCGACGAUCCCUAGCUGGUUUGAGAGGAUGAUCAGCCACACUGGAACUGAGACACGGUCCAGACUCUACGGGAGGCAGCAGUGGGGAAUAUUGCACAAUGGGCGCAAGCCUGAUGCAGCCAUGCCGCGUGUGUGAAGAAGGCUUCGGGUUGUAAAGCACUUUCAGUCAGGAGGAAAGGUUAGUAGUUAAUACCUGCUAGCUGUGACGUUACUGACAGAAGAAGCACCGGCUAACUCCGUGCCAGCAGCCGCGGUAAUACGGAGGGUGCGAGCGUUAAUCGGAAUUACUGGGCGUAAAGCGUACGCAGGCGGUUUGUUAAGCGAGAUGUGAAAGCCCCGKGCUCAACCUGGGAACAGCAUUUCGAACUGGCAAGCUAGAGUGUGAUAGAGGGUGGUAGAAUUCAGGUGUAGCGGUGAAAUGCGUAGAGAUCUGAAGGAAUACCGAUGCGAA
rnacentral:rRNA from 1 species